AUGGCCUUUCGAAUGAAUGAAAAGGUAGGCUUAAAAUCAAAUAUCUCCCUCCUUUCUGCUAUCCACUCUCAGGGGUUCCCUUAGCCAUCAACUAAGGAAGAAACACCUAACAAAGAUGAUCAUAGACAUUUUGAGGUGUGGAGAGCAAAGUCAGGAAGGUAUCAUGUUAUUUCUCGGAUGGCUAGAGAUAUUUUACCAAUUCCUAUAUCCGUUGUUUCAUCUAAGGCAACAUUUAGCACUAGUGAGUGUGUUCUUGAUCCCUAUCGUAGUUCCUUGAAUCCGACCAUAUAAGAGGCUUUGAUCGACACUCAAUAAACUAGUUAAGGUCCUCUAACUCUAAGAUUGCUUGUAAGUUAAAUGUUGCAGUUGCUAUAGCCAUAAAAGUUGAAAUAAGCAUGAACGUAUGAAAAUUCUUAUUUUAAUUUUUACUUUAAUCUUAUAUUUUAGUUACUAAUAUAUUUUAUUUUCUCAAAUUAUUAGAUGUGUCAUUAGUGACAGAACAUAAGGAGCUAGAAGUAACAAUGUUUUUGAUACUAGGGUAUAUAAUUUACAUUUGUUUACUAUUAGAGUUUAAAUUUGAUUUGUUUAACUUUGUAUACUCGAAUUGCAGUUUGAACUUACGGGUUGACACUUGGUAGAUUUUUGGAGAUGGCAGGUACUUCAAUGAAGAUGAUUAUUGCAAAUCCUUGAACAUCUCUCACAAGCUUGCUUCGUUUGUCUUCAUCUUUAUUCCUUGUGGAGAGAAGUUCUUUAGUGCAUUAAAUGCUUGGAUUAAAUGUAUUUCACCAAAAUUAUCACUUCUUAUAUGAUUAAGGAAGCUACUUAUCACCUUUUAUGUUCCAAA